CUCAUGGGGAGAACAACAAAAGCCCACAGCUCUCCUCCCCUGCAGAGCUCAUCCAGAGAGAGAAGAAAGAACCUUAUGAAUAUGCAAGACCACACAAUGGAACAGCUCAGAGAUUCUGCUCCGUUUCAAGCUUUGAAGUCCAAAGGAAUGCUGAGAUAGCGGUCGCUGUCCGCGGAUCUGAAACACAUCAGUGCGCUGUUGAAUUGGCGCCUUUUCCUAGACCAUGUGGCUAUGUGCAUAAUAGCACCAGCAUAUUGGUGUAGAGAACAUUGCGGCGGAGGCAGCAGCGGAGUAAGAAGAUGAGAAAACAGCCUUUGCCUUAAAUGACUAAGAAAAGUGAGGAGAGAGGAAACACC